rnacentral:tRNA from 1 species
AGCGGCAGAGUGCCACCUUCACACGGUGGAAGUCACAGGUUCAAAUCCUGUACCGCCCA